GCCCGCAGCGGUCUGCGCACCGACGAGCUGGGCCGGCUGCUCACCGACGAGACGUUGACCAGCGUCGGCGACGAUCGCAUCGUCGCCGCGGGUG
rnacentral:tRNA from 1 species